rnacentral:rRNA from 1 species
GACGAACGCUGGCGGCGUGCUUAACACAUGCAAGUCGAACGGAAAGGCCCUGCUUUUGUGGGGUGCUCGAGUGGCGAACGGGUGAGUAACACGUGAGUAACCUGCCCUUGACUUUGGGAUAACUUCAGGAAACUGGGGCUAAUAACGGAUAGGAGCUCCUGCUGCAUGGUGGGGGUUGGAAAGUUUCGGCGGUUGGGGAUGGACUCGCGGCUUAUCAGCUUGUUGGUGGGGUAGUGGCUUACCAAGGCUUUGACGGGUAGCCGGCCUGAGAGGGUGACCGGCCACAUUGGGACUGAGAGAGGGCCCAGACGCCAACGGGAGGCAGCAGUGGGGAAUAUUGCACAAUGGGCGGAAGCCUGAGACAGCAACGCCGCGUGCGUGAUGACGGCCUUCGGGGUGUAAACCGCUUUCGCCUGUGACGAAGCGUGAGUGACGGUAAUGGGUAAAGAAGCACCGGCUAACUACGUG